rnacentral:rRNA from 1 species
ACGAACGCUGGCGGCGUGCUUAACACCUGCCAGUCGAACGGAAGGGCCCUGCUUUUGUGGGGUGCUCGAGUGGCGAACGGGUGAGUAACACGUGAGUAACCUGCCCUUGACUUUGGGAUAACUUCAGGAAACUGGGGCUAAUACCGGAUAGGAGCUCCUGCUGCCUGGUGGGGGUUGGAAAGUUUCGGCGGUUGGGGAUGGACUCGCGGCUUAUCAGCUUGUUGGUGGGGUAGUGGCUUACCAAGGCUUUGACGGGUAGCCGGCCUGAGAGGGUGACCGGCCACAUUGGGACUGAGAUACGGCCCAGACUCCUACGGGAGGCAGCAGUGGGGAAUAUUGCACAAUGGGCGGAAGCCUGAUGCAGCAACGCCGCGUGCGGGAUGACGGCCUUCGGGUUGUAAACCGCUUUCGCCUGUGACGAAGCGUGAGUGACGGUAAUGGGUAAAGAAGCACCGGCUAACUACGUG